UACGAAGGGGACUAGCGUUGUUCGGAAUUACUGGGCGUAAAGCGCGCGUAGGCGGAUCGCUAAGUCAGGGGUGAAAUCCCAGGGCUCAACCCUGGAACUGCCUUUGAUACUGACGAUCUGGAGAUCGGGAGAGGUGAGUGGAAUUCCGAGUGUAGAGGUGAAAUUCGUAGAUAUUCGGAGGAACACCAGAAGCGAAGGCGGCUCACUGGCCCGAUACUGACGCUGAGGCGCGAAAGCGUGGGGAGCAAACAGG
rnacentral:rRNA from 1 species